UUGGAUCCAUUACUGUUGGCCUCCUGCCAGAAGGUGGUGCUUUCCAGAGAGUAUCAGCUGUAGUAGUAUGAAGAGGAACUAUUGGUGGGCAAGGCCCUAGAACUCCCAACAACAUAUGUACUUUGUCUUCAGCUACCAGGGGCUUGAGGAGUUGCUGAAGGUAAGCUCUUCAAUGCUUUUUGCCUCCAGGGGCCAAAUUAACCCGUAGAAAAGUUCUUUUAUGAACUCCUUUGACAUCCAUUUGAUACUUAAUCAUUUUCUGUUAUAAUUGCUUUAUGGCUAUUAUUUGUUUUCUUGUCAAAUUAUAAAAUCUUUGAAAUUUGGGGCCAUUCUUAAGCUUCUUGAGUUUCUCCACCUGUUCUCACAACAAAUUCUUCCUAAUGGAAGAAAAACAGAAAUGAAAGACACA
rnacentral:lncRNA from 1 species